GUAAUGUGAAUUGCAGAAUUCAGUGAAUCAUCGAAUCUUUGAACGCAACUUGCGCCCCUUGGUAUUCCGAGGGGCACGCCUGUCUGAGUGUCGUG
rnacentral:rRNA from 1 species